CAACGAUGACCAUUUUGCAUUCUGAAAACAAAUUAAGAUCACAAACAAAUCCAGAAGAACAAAAUUUGAGUGAGUUCACGGGUUUUAACAAUCUCCCACAAUUGUUCGAUGUGUCCAUAUUGAGGAAGAAACACACGGGUAAAUCGUGGCAAAAGGGUUUUGAAGGUUGAGGAGAAAAAGCCAAAGAAUGUCUGUCUCCAUCGGCCGACGAUGAGGCUUAAAGCAAAGCAAGAAAAACACGCCAAGCAACCAGUUCUUGUCUUUACCUUUGGAUUUUUUCUUGAUUCUCCCAAAUACACAAGGUUGAAUGGAAAACCCAUCUGAUGAUACGUCUCGCUUCUGCGAUCUAAAAGAUUAUUUUUUUCCUCGAUUGAUCGAUUGACUGGAGAUCUUCAGCUCCUGGGUUCCCUUCUUUUGGUGGGAAUCUGAUAGGAAGAUUUGCUUAGAAGGAACUUGUGAUGGAAAUUGUCUCACAGAACACACCACUGCGGAUUCAUGUGGUGAGCCCUAGUUCCAGAUCAGUCAAGAGAAGUGUAGAUUCAUCUAGGAACGUCAAAGUUUUGUGCUUAAAUGGUAGGAAGGGAAUUGGACCACCGAAAUUCUCUUCACUGAAUGAUCAUAGGAAAGGAUCUAGAUAUUCGAAAUCAUCGUACGAAGUGGCUA